CUGUCGCUAUUUGUCCAGCAAAGUUUCUAGACAACGGCCUCACGGCUUUGGUCUUUUGCCCAGAACUGGUUGACACACCACCCUUAGCUCCCAGGGAGGCUGGAGACAGAGAAGCAGCUGGCAACGUUGGCUUAGGUCACUUGUGGUCCACCACUUGGAGCUGGGCCCAUGGCUGCUCUGCACCAAAGUGGGUUCUUCCAGCGAGAAGCAAGGGAGGAAUGGGCCUCCAGUAUGCAGCAAAGGGCGCAAGAAAUGCCACAGUCCUGAGUCCACAGAGAAGUCUGGGGUGAGUUUGUCACAAUCAGGCAGCUGGGAUUUCAACCUCUCCUGGAAGUUCAAGGAGGAAUGUUUAUGUUGAUAUAUGCAGUGCUGGGGUUCAAAGCCAGGAGCUCACGCUUGCUAGGCUAGAGUUCUACCACUGAGCCACAUCCUUAGCUGGUGACCUUUUUGGAUACAAAUAAGAAUCAUAGCACGAUGAAAACCAGAGCAGAGUUCACAUCUCAGCUGAUGCUGGUUCCACACUGAAUCCACAGUCUUCUUGCAGCCGAUGUUUGAUCCUCUGUGAAUCCAGCCCCUAUAACUUGAUCAGAUUGUUCCUGAUCUCUAUGGUGGGGCCCAAGGGCUGUGGCUGAUGACCUGUCCCAUCUACUAGACCACCAACAAGCACUUGACCUUCAUAUCUGAGCUCCUCCUGCCGUCUAGCAUCUUGCUUCCCUUGACUCCCCUGCACUUCCUUCACAUUCUUUGCCUCCUAAGUGAUAUGGACAGCUCUGUUCAGUUGUCCCCCUCAAUGUCCCUCUGGAGAGGGCUGCCUAGCAGGAGCACAAUGGGAGCCUCAACUGGAAAUCAGCCUGCAACUGGAAAUUGAUUAGUAGACAUUUUAAAAAAUGGUAAAUGUGCAACAAUUUAUUAAAUGCUAUAGUUUAGUUAACCUGAUAGGUUGAAAAUGUCAUUUUAACAUGUGAUCAGCAAAAAAACUUUCAUACUAAGUCUUGGAAAUCUGUUGUGUUCCUUGCACUCCACACGUCGUGAUGUGACUUAGCCAUGGCUUCAGUGAUUGCAAACUGCAUGUGGCUAGUGGCUACUACACAAACUGUGCAAUUCUGGAGGACAGACACCAGCUUUAGGAACUGCAGAGCAGACCCUUAACAUAUACCUACUGAAUGAAUACAAACAGCCACUCCGCCAGGAGCAGGUCUUUCUUAAACAGAGGGUGCAGGGUCGACCAGAGAGCUCUGGAGCAGUGUGUGUGGUGAUCAAGAACUUGAACCCGCAUUCUCAGCCCUUGGGUGUGGCUACAUUAGGAGUUGACCCAGAUCCAGUCACUCAGCCUCUUUGUGUCUCUGUUUCCUCAUCUGUAAAGAGAGACAGCAGUGUCUGUCUGCAAGAUGCUGAGCAGAUUAAGUGACCAGUGUAUACAAAAUUCGGCCUGCCUGGCACAGGGUGGGCGUGUAAGAAGCCAUGGCUGUGGUGAUUUUAAGCUAGACAUUCUGACUCUUGCAGGAUUCUACCUGCUUGGGAACUGUCCUGGGGACCUCAAAGGAAUUUGUGGUGUUUCUGCUUUGGGCUAUGGCUGGGAAAAAGAGUGCCCAGACCCAACUCAGAGAAGAUGGGAGGAAGGAUGGAGUUGGCGCGUUGUCCUGGGGCCCUGAAGAGCAGAGUCCCGGGCGAGUCCCACCAGGAAGCUCUGCAGGGCUCGAGGUUGGAAGGAGUCUCACGUGCAGGUUCAGUUCACGUCCUGCUGGAUGACAGUGGCUGGGUGGCCCCUGGUGGACUGUGGGCUCUGUGUCACUCUCUCUCUCUGUGUCACUGAUGGAGGCACCACAGGUGUGGGAUUUUCUAUGUUAGCCUGCAAGUCCACUUGCUGGGGACAGCAGCCCUCACAACUAGUACGUUCUGCUCUUGCCAAACACUGUUGUCCAGAUUUCUAUGCAACUUCGUUUCUUUACACAGAAAAUAAAAACCCAGAGAAGCAUGA